GACGAACGCUGGCGGCGUGCUUAACACAUGCAAGUCGAACGGAAAGGCCCCCAUCUUGGUGGGGGUGCUCGAGUGGCGAACGGGUGAGUAACACGUGGGUGAUCUGCCCUGUACUUCGGGAUAAGCUUGGGAAACUGGGUCUAAUACCGGAUAGGACCAUGGUUUAGUGUCUCAUGGUGGAAAGAUUAUUGUUUUGGUGCAGGAUGAGCUCGCGGCCUAUCAGCUUGUUGGUGGGGUAAUGGCCUACCAAGGCGUCGACGGGUAGCCGGCCUGAGAGGGUGGACGGCCACAUUGGGACUGAGAUACGGCCCAGACUCCUACGGGAGGCAGCAGUGGGGAAUAUUGCACAAUGGGCGCAAGCCUGAUGCAGCGACGCCGCAUGGGGGAUGACGGCCUUCGGGUUGUAAACUCCUUUCGUUAGGGACGAAGCCACGCUUGUUGGGUGUGGUGACGGUACCUUUGUGAAGAAGCACCGGCUAACUACGUG
rnacentral:rRNA from 1 species